UACAGAGGUCCCAAGCGUUGUUCGGAUUCACUGGGCGUAAAGGGUGCGUAGGUGGCCAGGUAAGUUUGGUGUGAAAGCUCGGAGCUUAACUCCAGAAUUGCACCUCAAACUACAUGGCUAGAGCAUUGGAGAGGGUAGCGGAAUUCACGGUGUAGCAGUGAAAUGCGUAGAUAUCGUGAGGAACACCAGAGGCGAAGGCGGCUACCUGGACAAUUGCUGACGCUCAGGCACGAAAGCGUGGGUAGCAAACGGG
rnacentral:rRNA from 1 species